UACGGAGGGGGCUAGCGUUGUUCGGAAUUACUGGGCGUAAAGCGCGCGUAGGCGGAUCUGCAAGUCGGGGGUGAAAUCCCGAGGCUCAACCUCGGAACUGCCUUCGAUACUGCGGGUCUCGAGUCCGGGAGAGGUGAGUGGAAUUCCUAGUGUAGAGGUGAAAUUCGUAGAUAUUAGGAAGAACACCAGUGGCGAAGGCGGCUACCUGGACAGAUACUGACACUGAGGCGCGAGAGCGUGGGGAGCAAACAGGG
rnacentral:rRNA from 1 species